CCAGAAACGGAUCUAUUCCUUUUUAGACCAAAAAGUUACUAAUCUUGAUAAAUUUAAAUUAUUAAAUUUAUUUAGUUUUAAAAAUUUAUGGGAGUUAAAGCAAAAACCAGCCUAAAACUUUUUUGUAUUUUAGAAAUAAAGAUUAAGAAAUAAAUUUCUUUUAACUGAUUAAAUAGGUGCCAGCAAUCGCGGUCAUACCUGCAGUUAAAGUAAUAUUCAGAUUAAAUUUAUAAUAUUACACUUAUUCUAUAUAAAUAUAUUUUCUUUUCAAAUAAUUAAUUUUUUAGUGAAAUAUAAUUAAUUUAAAUAAUUUUCUAAGAAAAAGUUCUAUGAAAUUACUAAAACUUAAUACUAAACUAGGAUUAGAUACCCUACUAUUCAAGAAUUAAAAAUAUAAAUUUAAAGUAUUAAUUAAAAUUUAAUUUAAUAAACUUAAAAGUUAUGGCGGCAAGACUUUCCAAUCAGAGGAACUUACCUAUUAAUUGAUAACCACCAAGUUAAAAAUACUUUAAAUUUAAUUAGAUUGUAUGCCGUCGUCAAUAAAUAUUUUUUAGAAGUAUUUUACUUUAAGUUAAUAUAACUUUUAAUGACAGAUCAAGGUGCAUCUUAUAUUAAAGUCUUAAGGCGAGUUACAAUAAUUUUUUUUUUCAGAUUAACAAAAAUUGAAGUAAUGAAUGUUAAGAAGAUGGAUUUGACAGUAAAAAUUAAACUAAUUUAAUUAAAUUUUAAAAAAGAUUAUUUCACAAAAAGAAGUUUUGUGU
rnacentral:rRNA from 1 species